AUUGAACGCUGGCGGCAUGCCUUACACAUGCAAGUCGAACGGCAGCACGGGAGCAAUCCUGGUGGCGAGUGGCGAACGGGUGAGUAAUAUAUCGGAACGUGCCCAGUAGUGGGGGAUAGCCCGGCGAAAGCCGGAUUAAUACCGCAUGAGACCUGAGGGUGAAAGCGGGGGAUCGCAAGACCUCGCGCUAUUGGAGCGGCCGAUAUCAGAUUAGCUAGUUGGUGGGGUAAAGGCCUACCAAGGCAACGAUCUGUAGUUGGUCUGAGAGGACGAACAGCCACACUGGGACUGGGACACGGCCCAGACUCCUACGGGAGGCAGCAGUGGGAAUUUUGGACAAUGGGCGCAAGCCUGAUCCAGCAAUGCCGCGUGCAGGAAGAAGGCCUUCGGGUUGUAAGCUGCUUUUGUCAGGGAAGAAAUCCCUUGGGAUAAUACCUCGGGGGGAUGACGGUACCUGAAGAGUAAGCACCGGCUAACUACGUGCCAGCCGCCGCAGUAAGAC
rnacentral:rRNA from 1 species